rnacentral:rRNA from 1 species
AUUGAACGCUAACGGCAUGCUUAACACAUGCAAGUCGAACGGCAGCACAGUUGUAGCAAUACAAUGGGUGGCGAGUGGCGGACAGGUGAGUAAUGUAUAGGAAUCUGCCUUGAAGUGGGGGAUAACCUGGGGAAACUCGGGCUAAUACCGCAUAAUCUCUACGGAGCAAAGCGGGGGACCGUAAGGCCUCGUGCUUCAAGAUGAGCCUAUAUUGGAUUAGCUAGUUGGUAGGGUAAAAGCCUACCAAGGCGACGAUCCAUAGCUGGUCUGAGAGGAUGAUCAGCCACACUGGGACUGAGACACGGCCCAGACUCCUACGGGAGGCAGCAGUGGGGAAUAUUGGACAAUGGGCGAAAGCCUGAUCCAGCCAUGCCGCGUGUGUGAAGAAGGUCUUCGGAUUGUAAAGCACUUUAAGUUGGGAGGAAGGGCAGUAAGUUAAUACCUUGCUGUUUUGACGUUACCAACAGAAUAAGCACCGGCUAACUUCGUGCCAGCCGCCGCCGUAAAAC